GAUGAAGAACGCAGCAAAAUGCGAUAAGUAAUGUGAAUUGCAGAAUUCAGUGAAUCAUCGAAUCUUUGAACGCACAUUGCGCCCGCCAGUAUUCUGGCGGGCAUGCCUGUUCGAGCGUCAUUUCAACCCUCAAGCCCUCGGGUUUGGUGUUGGGGAUCGGCGAGCCUUUCUGGCAAGCCGGCCCCGAAAUCUAGUGGCGGUCUCGCUGUCACACCGAGCGCAGUAGCAUUUCUUCGCUCUGGGCGCGGCGGCGGGCGCUUGCCGUAAAACAUACUACUUUUUAAAGGUUGACCUCGGAUCAGGUAGGAAUACCCGCUGAACUUAAGCAUAUCAAUAAGCGGAGGA
rnacentral:misc_RNA from 1 species